rnacentral:rRNA from 1 species
CGACCUGGCUCACACCGGUUUAAACUCAGAUCAUGUAAAAUUUUAAAGGUCGAACAGACCUCUCUUUAUUAGCUUCUACACCAAUAAUAAAUUUUAAUCCAACAUCGAGGUCGCAAUCUAUUUAAUCGAUAAGAACUCUUUAAAUAAUUACGCUGUUAUCCCUAAGGUAAUUUAAUCUUAUAAUCUAUAUUUUAGGAUCAUUUAUAUACAAAUCAGUAUUUCUAUAAAAAAAAGUUAUUUUAAUUUUUCUAUCACCCCAAUAAAAUAUAUAAUCUAAAUUUUAAAAAAUUAUAUUUCCUUAAACUUUAAAAUCAAAUUAAUAUAAAACUCUAUAGGGUCUUCUCGACUUCUAUACAAAUUUAAGCUUUUUUACUUAAAAAUAAAAUUCUAUUUAACUUUAAAAGAGACAGAUGUUUUUUCAUCAAACCUUUCAUUCAAGCUUUCAAUUAAAAAACUAGUGAUUAUGCUACCWUUGCACGGUCAAUAUACCGCGGCCGUUUGAUAGCGGGGGCGGGUUGGAC